AGCGAACGUUAGCGGCGGGCCUAACACAUGCAAGUCGAGCGAGAAAGGGGGUUCGCCCCCGAGUACAGCGGCGGACGGGUGAGUAACACGUAGGUAAUUUUCCCUUGAGCGGGGGACAACGUUCCGAAAGGGACGCUAAUACCGCAUAAGUUCUUGGGUGCUUCGGCACUGGAGAGGAAAGCUAGGCCGCAAGGUCUGGCACUCGAGGAGAAGCCUGCGUCGCAUCAGCUAGUUGGUGGGGUAAUGGCCUACCAAGGCAAAGACGCGUAGCUGGUCUGAGAGGAUGAUCAGCCACACUGGGACUGAGACACGGCCCAGACUCCUACGGGAGGCAGCAGUGGGGAAUAUUGGGCAAUGGGCGAAAGCCUGAUCCAGCAAUGCCGCGUGAGUGAUGAAGGCCUUAGGGUUGUAAAGCUCUUUUACCCGGAUGAUAAUGACAGUACCGGGAGAA
rnacentral:rRNA from 1 species